rnacentral:rRNA from 1 species
CACGUAGGCACCAAGCGUUGUCCGGAUUUAUUGGGCGUAAAGAGCUCGUAGGCGGUUCAGUAAGUCGGGUGUGAAAACUCUGGGCUUAACCCAGAGCCGCCAUCCGAUACUGCUGAACUUGAGUACGGUAGGGGAGUGGGGAAUUCCUGGUGUAGCGGUGAAAUGCGCAGAUAUCAGGAGGAACACCGGUGGCGAAGGCGCCACUCUGGGCCGAAACUGACGCUGAGGAGCGAAAGCGUGGGGAGCAAACGGG